rnacentral:rRNA from 1 species
UACGGGGGGAGCAAGCGUUGUUCGGAUUUACUGGGCGUAAAGGGCGCGUAGGCGGCCAGCGCAAGUCAGUUGUGAAAUCUCCGGGCUUAACUCGGAAAGGUCAACUGAUACUGUGCGGCUAGAGUGCAGAAGGGGCAACUGGAAUUCUCGGUGUAGCGGUGAGAUGCGUAGAUAUCGAGAGGAACACCUGCGGCGAAGGCGGGUUGCUGGGCUGACACUGACGCUGAUGCGCGAAAGCCAGGGGGAGCGAACGGG